rnacentral:rRNA from 1 species
CAGCCGCCGCGGUAAUACGUAGGGUGCAAGCGUUAUCCGGAAUUAUUGGGCGUAAAGAGCUCGUAGGCGGUUUGUCGCGUCUGCUGUGAAAACUGGAGGCUCAACCUCCAGCCUGCAGUGGGUACGGGCAGACUAGAGUGCGGUAGGGGAGAUUGGAAUUCCUGGUGUAGCGGUGGAAUGCGCAGAUAUCAGGAGGAACACCGAUGGCGAAGGCAGAUCUCUGGGCCGUGACUGACGCUGAGGAGCGAAAGCGUGGGGAGCGAACAGGAUUAGAUACCCCCGUAGUCCCUGUCUCUUAUAC